UGGGGAAUAUUGGGCAAUGGGCGAAAGCCUGACCCAGCAACGCCGCGUGAAGUAUGAAGGCCUUCGGGUUGUAAACUUCUUUGAUCAGGGAAGAAACAAAUGACGGUACCUGAAAAACAAGCCCCGGCUAACUACGUGCCAGCAGCCGCGGUAAUACGUAGGGGGCUAGCGUUGUCCGGAAUCACUGGGCGUAAAGGGUUCGCAGGCGGAAAUGCAAGUCAGGUGUAAAAGGCAGUAGCUUAACUACUGUAAGCAUUUGAAACUGCAUAUCUUGAGAAGAGUAGAGGUAAGUGGAAUUUUUAGUGUAGCGGUGAAAUGCGUAGAUAUUAAAAAGAAUACCGGUGGCGAAGGCGACUUACUGGGCUCAUUCUGACGCUGAGGAACGAAAGCGUGGGUAGCAAACAGG
rnacentral:rRNA from 1 species